UGCCUCUCCUCUGCCCCCCGAGUCCCUGUCGCCUCUUAACCUUUAGUUUCACUCGUCGGCUGCGUGGAGGCAGUCUCGUAUCUGCACCUUAUCUUGUCACCUGGAAGAAAAAAAAAAUGCAAGCAUCAAAGGAAGGAUGUGACGACCAUUUCAGGCCAAGGGGACGAGGACCAUUCACAUGGAGACUCUAGCACUGUCCUCUCUCGAUGUGAUGGCCGUGAUAUAUCGAGGCAGCAGUGGCGUCUCGUGUCUUAUCUCAAGCUUGCUGGAGGCGGGGCGUGAGUUGCUGCGCCCUAUCAUCUGUUUAUGGACAAGGUACAUGACCCCCCUCCCCUCAUACCCACACAUCUCUCCCGUGACUCAUCUAAGUAUACCGAGAUCUUUAGAUACGUAUGUAUUAGAAAAAAGGGUGAUAUUUUUAGCAUUAUAGGUGAUAAAAGCUUUUGUAUAUAAUAGAUAAACAGUAAUUACCAACAUGUGCUACUGCUACUGCUAUCAUUAUCACUUCCAUCAGUGUCAACAACAAAAACAGCAACAGACGACUAGAAAGGCAGAUGAUUUCCCCGUUUUCUCUCGUGUUGCCGGUUGGUGAUGCGCAAGGCAGUGCUGGAACCCUCAUUGAGUCUUGGCAGAGUCGGUUUUUGCUAUGGGCAAUGUGGGCGACCGCCCAGGGCGCAAUCUAUUUGGGGCGCACGAGCGCCCUCAAUAAAGAAAUAAAAAAAAAGUG